UGGGGAAUAUUGCACAAUGGGCGCAAGCCUGAUGCAGCCAUGCCGCGUGUAUGAAGAAGGCCUUCGGGUUGUAAAGUACUUUCAGCGGGGAGGAAGGGAGUAAAGUUAAUACCUUUGCUCAUUGACGUUACCCGCAGAAGAAGCACCGGCUAACUCCGUGCCAGCAGCCGCGGUAAUACGGAGGGUGCAAGCGUUAAUCGGAAUUACUGGGCGUAAAGCGCACGCAGGCGGUUUGUUAAGUCAGAUGUGAAAUCCCCGGGCUCAACCUGGGAACUGCAUCGGAUACUGGCAAGCUUGAGUCUCGUAGAGGGGGGUAGAAUUCCAGGUGUAGCGGUGAAAGGCGUAGAGAUCUGGAGGAAUACCGGUGGCGAAGGCGGCCCCCUGGACGAAGACUGACGCUCAGGUGGGAAAGCGUGGGGAGCAAACAGG
rnacentral:rRNA from 1 species